rnacentral:rRNA from 1 species
GACGAACGCUGGCGGCGUGCUUAACACAUGCAAGUCGAACGGGCCUGUCUUCUUUUUUGGGGGUGGGUUGAGUGGCGAACGGGUGAGUAUCACGUGAGUAACCUGCCCUUCGGUCCUGGAUAACCGCUUGAAAGGGCGGCUAAUACGGGGUGGUCCGGUUGGUCCGCAUGGGCUGGUCGGGAUAGAUUCACUGUUUUUGGUGUUUCGGCGGGGGAUGGGCUCGCGGCCUAUCAGCUUGUUGGUGGGGUGAUGGCCUACCAAGGCGGUGACGGGUAGCCGGCCUGAGAGGGUGGGCGGCCACACUGGGACUGAGAUACGGCCCAGACUCCUGCGGGAGGCAGCAGUGGGGGGUAUUGCACAAUGGGCGGAAGCCUGAUGCAGCGACGUCGCGUGAGGGAUGGAGGCCUUCGGGUUGGGAACCUCUGUUUCCGGUGGUGAAGGCCCUGUCCGUGUGGUGGGGUUGACGGUAGCCGGGGAUGAAGCGCCGGCUAACUACGUG